rnacentral:misc_RNA from 1 species
GCAACACCACUUCAGUGGAGGUUUAUGAGAAGAAAAAAUCCCCGCAGUGGAGGUAUGACAUGGGCUGGAAAAGGAAUUUUGAACAGGUUUUUGGCGCUAAUAAGGUGUUAUGGUUCUUUCCGUUGUUCUCAAAGAAAGAUAUGGAGAGCAUACCGGCACUGCAUGGAAUGGAAUUCCCAACGCGUUCAGAUGUUGUAGACUGAGUCGUUAUAUAGGGACGUAUAUACAACUUUGUAUCAUUACCUCAGACAAUGCUACAGCAGAUGCUAGAGUAGGCAGUUUCCUAUUCACCAUCAAUUGAUUGAUUAAUAUUUUCA